rnacentral:lncRNA from 1 species
UUCUCUCUCUCCAUUUAUCUUCUGGUUUACAAUUCUGGUCUCUGGUGUUGCUUUGUUUCCCCUGAAAUUCACAUCUUUAUCGAUUUCUUCUAUUUUCUAUGUCUUAACUUGCUUUGAUCACAACCUUUCUACUCUUCCCUGAGCCCAGUUAGGGUUUUACGGAGUCACUAAACCUCUGAUUACAGCAGAUUAUUACACUGUCCUUUAAUCAAUACAU